rnacentral:rRNA from 1 species
AUGAACGCUGGCGGCGUGCCUAACACAUGCAAGUCGAGCGAGAAAUUGCUGAUUGAGAUUUCGGUUGAUAGAAGCGAUGGACAGCGGCGGACGGGUGAGUAACGCGUAGGUAAUCUGCCCGGUGCACAGGGAUAGCCUAGGGAAACCUGGAUUAAUACCUGAUAAUGCCUUGAGGUCACAUGGCCACGAGGCCAAAGAUUUAUCGGCAUCGGAUGAACCUGCGUCUGAUUAGAUAGUUGGUGGGGUAACGGCCUACCAAGUCAACGAUCAGUAGCCGACCUGAGAGGGUGAUCGGCCACAUUGGAACUGAGACACGGUCCAAACUCCUACGGGAGGCAGCAGUGGGGAGUAUUGCACAAUGGGCGCAAGCCUGAUGCAGCAACGCCGCGUGAGUGAUGAAGGUCUUCGGGUCGUAAAACUCUGUCCUCUGGGAAGAAGAAGUGACGGUACCAGAGGAGGAAGCCCCGGCUAACUACGUGCC